GAUAUCUUGGCUCGUGGUAUUGAUGACCAGCAAGUGUCUCUUGUAAUUAACUAUGAUCUCCCAACUCAGCCAGAGAAUUACCUUCAUCGAAUUGGACGUAGUGGACAUUUUGGAAGCAAGGUUGUUGCGUUAAAUUUUGUUACCAAGGAUGAUGAAAGGAUGCUGUUUGACAUACAGAAGUUUUAUAAUGUAGAAGUCGAGGAGCUCCCUUCCAAUGUUGCUGAGCUCCUUUAGUAUGGUUUUGAUGUGAUGAGAUAAACUGUUUCUUAUUUCGUAGGGGUUUAGCAGUCAAACAUGUCUUGGAACAAUCAAUCCUUAAUGUAACCAAUCUAUCCUUUUCUCUGCCUUCAUUUCUAUUUUUUCUUCUAUUCUUUUGCAUCCAAUUUGGAACAAAGAUUAUGCUACUAAUUAAUGUUUUAAGAUUCGUAUUUUCGUUUCAAAAUUAGAUAUAUAUUUUGUGUUUUUUUAAAGUUAAUUCAUCAAAUCUUAACUUAAAAUUGAUAUAAUUUGGAGACAAUAAAAAAUAAUUAGUAGUACUUUAUACUUAGUUUAUAAUUUUUAUAUUUGUUUGUACUAAAAUUAAAUAAUUUAAUAUCAAUUUUAAAUUUUAAAAUUUUACGAAUUGACUCUAAAAAAUCAAAAUAUAUCUUUAACCUGUUUUAUUUUCUCCAUACAACAAUAAUAUAUGCAUCCAUUCUGCUCAUGAAUCAUUAUCGUUUUAUCUUCUCAUGGGUAUAAUAAAUAUUUACUUUAUGAUAAAUAUUUAUUAUUGAGACUCCGAAACUUCUUUGAAACAGGUGAUGGAUUGGUGAUGUUGCUUAAAUUAGAGUUAUUAGUAUUAAAAUUAAAAUACUGAUCCAGCACAAAAUUUUAAGUCUCAUCUCCCACCAUAAUUGAAGCAAAAUUAUACUCCAUUCGUUUCUUAAUAUAAAUUAUUUAAAAGAAAUAUUUUAUGUCCCUUAAUAUAAGUCGUUUGAGAAUUUCAAGUAAACAUUAAUUAUUUAAUUUUUAAUAUUACCCAAACUAUUAAAUAUAACUUUAGUUCUAUCACUAUUUUUUUGUCUAAUAAAUAAUACUCAAAUUUUUCAGUACAAGAACAAUAUAGACAAUUAAUAUUAUAUUUAAUGUUAUACAAUCAUUUUCUUAAUACUUGUACACAACUCUAAAACAACUUAUAUUAAGGGAGAGGGAGUACUCGCUACUUCUUUUUAAAUGACUAUUUUACGGCUACCAAUGUCUGUGGCGGUAGCGUUUGCAGCAUUUUAACCAAAAGUUUGGUACGUAAGAUUUGGGGCACAAAGGUUGCGUUUGUGAGUUAAAUAAGUUAUGUUUAAAAUAAGUUGUUACUAGAAGAAUAAGAUUUUCAAGUAUAUUUGAGCUUCUAAAUUGCUCUAAACACACCAAAUACUGCAAACACCGGGUAACAAAACAUACAUUAAGAAUAUGUAGGAGUUCACCGGUAAGAGUAUGCAUUCAAAUAGUAAAAUACGAAUUCGGUUAGCAUGAAGUGAAUUUCAUGGUAAAUUUACUUCAUGCCCAAUACAGUAUUGACACAUAGAUGAAAAGAUAUCUCUCCGUCUGCAUGUCAUAUUAUUAACUAUGAAAUGAAUUUACUAUAAAAUUCACUUCAUAUUAAGUCGAAUCGAAUUAUAUUCAAACUAUUCAAACGCAGAACCAGUUUAAUAUUCAAACGCAGACCCAGUUUUGAAGCCUAGCCCAUUUACAAUUUCACACCUCCUUAAACCCAAUAUUUGGGCAACAACUUGAAACGCCGUCGUUAGCAUAGGAAAACAUGCAAAACCAAACGACAAGCACGAAGAAGGUGCAAAUUAGGGCUUUGCGAAAUCCUAUUUUGCUUCCGUCUCUAUUCAAAGAAUUUAUCACUCUCUAAAUAACAGAGUUGUCUUCCUCAACUCCGCGGCGUAGAUCCGAGGAGUUUGAGAAAACCCGAUCCCUCGUCUUCAAAAUCUACCAAAACCCCCAUCUAUUUCUUUCCCACCAUUUCAGCUACUUUUCACUCCAAUCAGUAAGUCAUUCAAAUGCCUUUUUUUUCUUUUUUAAAAAUUUCUAUGUAUGUGUGAUUCUAAAAUUUUCAUUUUGCUACUAGAUUAUCAUAAAGUUGAUUUAUUUGCUUUGGUUGAAGAUCUGUUUGGAAUGAUGCUACUAUAUUAUAGUAAUACAUGAUAUAUAUUUUUGAUUUUUCGUAGGUUAUAUACUGUUUAUCUUUGACAUUAAUGGUAUCCAAAUAUAGUUUACACUUUAUAGCACCCAUCCCAUAAUUUGAAACAUUGGAGGAUUAAAAGGUAGAAGCUUUAAUUGGAGUAUAUCACUAUAUUGUCAAUACUCCUGUUUUUAAUGCUUUAUGUUGGUUGGGUCUUAAAUCAGUGUUCUUCUCAUAAUUUGCAUUACAUGGUGUAUUUAUGUGUGAGAUGUGUACUUUUCAAAUGCUGUCCACCAACAUUAAAUGUGUAGUAUAUGAAAAAGUGGUUUCUAUGUGUAUCUUGGCAGUUUAUGAAUGGGUGUGUAAUUAGUAGACUUGCAAGGAAAAAUGGCAGUGUAAAUUAAGAAGAAAGACGUGACUGUUGAUGAGGAUGGAAGCAGAAGAAAAUUAAUAUUAUUAGGUUAUUAUUACGUAUUAUUAUUUAUGGAUGAUUUUAAUGUAAUUAGUUUAUUUAGAAGAUAAUAUUAGGAUAUAUUUAAUUAUAUUAUUAGAAUACUCUAGAAUAUUAAUUAUUUAAGGUAGUAGAUAAUUACUAGAAUUUUAUUUCCUUAUUUAAUUAGGUUACUUAAUAUUUUACUUAGCCUCCAAAAUUUUCUCAUUCCUAUAUAAACAGUUGUACUCCCUCGUUUAUUAUUAUUAUUAUUGAAUGAUUGAUAUUAUUGAAUUUUAAGCCUUGCACUGGUGACUUUUAGCCUAAUUAUCUUCUUUGAAUUCUCUUUCUUUCUUCCUCCAUCUUUGUUCUACAUCAUAAUGGUAUCAAAGAGCCAAAGGUUCCUGAUAUAUUUUGAUUUUUCACGAUUCCUUUCUACCCUAAUAUUUUGGUUCAUGAUAUAUUUUGAUUUGACCCAAUUCCUUCCUACCCUAAUUGUUUGGCUUCCAUCAAUUGUCAAAGUUCGCUAGAGAGUCGACAUCAAUAUCCGUGUAGUCUCAAAUCUAUCCCAAUUUAUUUUAUCCAAGUUUUUAAACUGCUACAGUGGGCAAAAUUACCGAUUGUACCCCAAGGUUUCUGAAACUUUCAACUUAGGCCCUGAACUUUCUGAACAUUUCAAAUCAGCCUCCAAAGUUUCAGACAAGUUCAAAUCAGUCCCUGUUUCGUUGUAUUUUCUGCACUUACGCCCCUAGACCCCCAAAAAAAGGAAAAAAAGGAGUAUUGUUUUAGGAAUCAUGGUUAACUAAUGCUGAGCUUGCAUCUAAAAUGGAAGAGAUGUCUAAAAGUUAUGGUGCAAGAAUUGAUUCUUUAGAGGCUCAAAUGAAAUCCUUAACGGAAUUAAUAAAUACUUUGCUCCAACAACACAAGUUUGAUCCAGAAAAGAGUGAAUCUCCCACUAUUUGAACGGUGAUGACCAAGGAAUAACAAUGGACAGAGAUGCUCAAUGUUAAUGACACUAAUUGGGAAGAAAUUUUGCAACUCAAUGACAAGUCACAAGAAGAUGAAGAUAAAGUUGAUGUGAGCGAAAGUGAGAUUGAGCAGAAAGUUGAUGAUGUUCCGUAUGAAGAAACAUACCAUCAAGUCAUCGAUUUCGUUAUCAACGAGAGCUCUAACUAGAAGCAAUACAAAGAAGUUCACUCAUUGUUUUUUUCUAAUCAAUAUAGUUACAAGGAGGAUAAAACUUUCUUGCAUGUUUGAAGCCUUUUAAGUUUUAGGGUUUUUCUUAUUCCUAUAUAAACAAUUGUAAUCUCUUAUUAUUAUUAACCUAAUUAUCUUCUUUGAAUUCUCUUUCUUCCUUCCUCCAUCUUUGUCCUACUCUUACAUCAACUGUUACCAUACGUGCUAUGUUGUUUAUUUACUGCCAUUGUUUUGUACUGCAAUAUAUGCCUCUUUUACUGUUUUACUUGUAUAAAUUUUCCCCUCAAGUUGACAGGGCUGUACAAUAUGCUAUUAUAAUUAUAAGGAAUGUGGUUGCAUAGUUAGGAUGCUUUAGACUGAUUCUUUUGUCUUUUUCAUACGAGUAAUAUUUAUUUCUGACUUACUUGCAAUAGUCAUGUCUGGAUCUGGUCCAGAAGGUUCUCAAUUCGAUGCACGCCAAUUCGAUGCAAAAAUGACUGAAUUGUAAGUUCUUUGUAUUCAAAUUUCAAUUAAUUGAAGUUGCUUCAUAAUAGAUUUGCCUUUAUUUUCUAGUUACACUUUAUUACUUACUUUCUGAUGAAGAAAAAGCAUAUUUUCUUCCUUAUACGUCAAUGAUGGUACUCAUAUUAUGGUUUGAUGAAUUGAUUGGAGCAGACUUGGGGCUGAUGGAGAGGAGUUCUUCACAUCAUACGAUGAGGUUUAUGACAGUUUCGAUGCUAUGGGAUUGCAAGAAAAUCUUCUUCGAGGCAUCUAUGCCUAUGGUUGAGAAGAUUUUAACCUUGUUUUCCGUUUUCUCAUGUUAUUUGUUUUCCUUAAAAAUAUGUUCAUCAAGACCGGACAUCAUGUGAGAACUACAUUAAACAUAUUUAUAUUUCCUGACUACUUCAUGGCAAAGUGAUUAAUUUUUUUAAUUAUCCAUUAGAACCUUCUUUCCAUUCAAUUUAUCUUGUGAUUGCCAAAGUUAUCAAUUUUAUGGUUGCCUGUCAUUUCUUUAGUUUACUGCCGAUUCUUAUAUAGAACCAGUUUUUGGGGAAGUGGAGAACUGAUAGGUGGGUUUAAUUUUUUGAAGGUUUUGAGAAGCCCUCUGCAAUUCAGCAACGGGGGAUUGUUCCAUUCUGCAAGGGACUUGAUGUUAUUCAACAGGCACAAUCUGGUACUGGGAAAACAGCAACUUUUUGCUCUGGAAUUUUGCAGCAACUUGAUUACGGUGUAGUUGAAUGUCAGGCAUUGGUCCUUGCACCUACUCGUGAGCUUGCACAGCAGAUUGAGAAGGUUAUGCGAGCACUUGGUGAUUAUCUUGGUGUGAAGGUUCAUGUUUGUGUAGGAGGAACUAUCGUCCGCGAAGAUCAGCGCAUUCUCUCAAGUGGUGUUCAUGUUGUUGUUGGUACACCCGGCCGUGUAUUUGACAUGUUGCGAAGGCAAUCACUUCGUCCGGAUUACAUCAAAAUGUUUGUGCUGGACGAAGCUGAUGAAAUGCUUUCGAGAGGUUUCAAGGAUCAGGUAUUCAUUAUUCUCCGUUUUCCAUGAUCUGUAUGUGUUCAUCUGCUGUGUUGUCCGUCUCUUUUAGCCUGAAUCGUCAAUUUGUGGUUGUUUGUGCUGUGUUUAAUGGGGUAUAGGAUGCUUAUCUCAGAGAUUAUCUCGUUACAAAAUAUGCACGUGCAAAUGUUUUUAUGCUUUUAGUAUUUAGUUUGACACAUUUAGCUCUUGGAUAUGAACUUAUUUGGAUUUUUUUCUUAUACAACUGGAAAAGCUGCUGUGUUCUGCAAUGCUGAAUCCAAAUUGUUUACCACUCAAAGCAGUUUCUUACCCUCAACUUUAUUCUUGUCAGAUCUAUGAUAUUUUCCAGUUGCUACCACCCAAAAUUCAGGUUGGGGUUUUCUCUGCCACCAUGCCUCCUGAAGCUCUUGAAAUCACAAGGAAAUUCAUGAAUAAGCCUGUGAGGAUUCUUGUGAAACGUGAUGAGCUUACUCUGGAGGGUAUCAAACAGUUUUACGUUAAUGUUGACAAGGAGGAAUGGAAACUUGAGACACUUUGUGAUCUAUAUGAGACUUUGGCCAUUACCCAGAGUGUCAUAUUUGUUAACACUAGGCGCAAGGUUGAUUGGCUCACUGACAAAAUGCGCAGCCGUGAUCACACGGUCUCUGCCACCCAUGGAGACAUGGAUCAGAACACUAGAGACAUCAUUAUGCGGGAAUUCCGCUCUGGUUCCUCUCGCGUGCUCAUCACCACUGAUCUCUUGGCUCGUGGUAUUGAUGUCCAGCAAGUGUCUCUUGUAAUUAACUAUGAUCUCCCAACUCAGCCAGAGAAUUACCUUCAUCGAAUUGGACGUAGUGGACGUUUUGGAAGGAAGGGUGUUGCGAUAAAUUUUGUUACCACGGAUGAUGAAAGGAUGCUGUUUGACAUACAGAAGUUUUAUAAUGUAGUAGUCGAGGAGCUCCCUGCCAAUGUUGCUGAUCUCCUUUAGAGUGGUUUUGAUGUGAUGAGGUAAAUUGUUUGUUAUUUGGAAGUAAUUUAUGGUCUUAUCUCGUAGGGGUUUAGCUGUCAAACAUGUC
rnacentral:lncRNA from 1 species